GAUGAACGCUAGCGACAGGCUUAACACAUGCAAGUCGAGGGGCAUCGGGGUUGUAGCUUGCUAUAACUGCCGGCGACCGGCGCACGGGUGAGUAACACGUAUGCAACCUGCCCGUUGCAGGGGGAUAAGCGGAAGAAAUUCCGUCUAAUACCGCGUAAUAUGGGCGAUAGGCAUCUAUCAUUCAUUAAAGAUUUAUCGGCAACGGAUGGGCAUGCGGUGCAUUAGCUAGUUGGCGGGGUAACGGCCCACCAAGGCGACGAUGCAUAGGGGUUCUGAGAGGAAGGUCCCCCACACUGGUACUGAGACACGGACCAGACUCCUACAGGAGGCAGCAGUGAGGAAUAUUGGUCAAUGGGCGAGAGCCUGAACCAGCCAAGUCGCGUGAGGGAUGACGGUCCUAUGGAUUGUAAACCUCUUUUGUCGGGGAGCAAGAGCUCUACGUGUAGAGUAGUGAGAGUACCCGAAGAAAAAGCAUCGGCUAACCCCGUGCCAGCAGCCGCGGUAAGAC
rnacentral:rRNA from 1 species